AAGCGGUGGAGCAUGUGGUUUAAUUCGAUGCAACGCGAAGAACCUUACCUACUCUUGACAUCCAGAGAACUUUCCAGAGAUGGAUUGGUGCCUUCGGGAACUCUGAGACAGGUGCUGCAUGGCUGUCGUCAGCUCGUGUUGUGAAAUGUUGGGUUAAGUCCCGCAACGAGCGCAACCCUUAUCCUUGUUUGCCAGCGAGUAAUGUCGGGAACUC
rnacentral:rRNA from 1 species